rnacentral:rRNA from 1 species
AUUGCAAUUGUUGGUCUUCAACGAGGAAUGCCUAGUAAGCGCGAGUCAUCAGCUCGCGUUGACUACGUCCCUGCCCUUUGUACACACCGCCCGUCGCUCCUACCGAUUGAAUGGUCCGGUGAAGUGUUCGGAUCGCGGCGACGGGGGCGGUUCGCCGCCCCCGACGUCGCGAGAAGUCCAUUGAACCUUAUCAUUUAGAGGAAGGAGAAGUCGUAACAAGGUUUCCGUAGGUGAACCUGCGGAAGGAUCAUUG